rnacentral:rRNA from 1 species
CAGUAGCCGCGGUAAUACGGAGGGCGCAAGCGUUAAUCGGAAUUACUGGGCGUAAAGCGUGCGUAGGCGGUUCGUUAAGUCUGUUGUGAAAGCCCCGGGCUCAACCUGGGAAUGGCAAUGGAUACUGGCGAGCUAGAGUGUGUCAGAGGAUGGUGGAAUUCCCGGUGUAGCGGUGAAAUGCGUAGAGAUCGGGAGGAACAUCAGUGGCGAAGGCGGCCAUCUGGGACAACACUGACGCUGAGGCACGAAAGCGUGGGGAGCAAACAGGAUUAGAUACCCCCGUAGUCCCUGUCUCUUAUAA